UCCUACGGGGGGCAGCAGUGGGGAAUAUUGGACAAUGGGCGCAAGCCUGAUCCAGCAAUGCCGCGUGAGUGAUGAAGGCCUUAGGGUUGUAAAGCUCUUUUACCCGGGAUGAUAAUGACAGUACCGGGAGAAUAAGCCCCGGCUAACUCCGUGCCAGCAGCCGCGGUAAUACGGAGGGGGCUAGCGUUGUUCGGAAUUACUGGGCGUAAAGCGCACGUAGGCGGCUUUGUAAGUUAGAGGUGAAAGCCCAGGGCUUAACCCUGGAAUUGCCUUUAAGACUGCAUCGCUAGAAUCGUGGAGAGGUGAGUGGAAUUCCGAGUGUAGAGGUGAAAUUCGUAGAUAUUCGGAAGAACACCAGUGGCGAAGGCGACUCACUGGACACGUAUUGACGCUGAGGUGCGAAAGCGUGGGGAGCAAACAGGAUUAGAUACCCGCGUAGUCCG
rnacentral:rRNA from 1 species